GCUGGUGUGGCGUAAAUGGCAAACGCACGGCGUCGAGAGCGCCGGGGCUUUCAGGCCCGAUGGGGGUUCGAGUCCCCCCGCCAGCA
rnacentral:tRNA from 1 species